AUUGAACGCUGGCGGAAUGCUUUACACAUGCAAGUCGAACGGCAGCACGGGGGCAACCCUGGUGGCGAGUGGCGAACGGGUGAGUAAUACAUCGGAACGUGCCCAGUCGUGGGGGAUAACGUAGCGAAAGCUACGCUAAUACCGCAUACGAACUCUGGUUGAAAGCGGGGAUCGCAAGACCUCGCGCGAUUGGAGCGGCCGAUGGCAGAUUAGGUAGUUGGUGGGGUAAAGGCNCACCAAGCCGACGAUCUGUAGCUGGUCUGAGAGGACGACCAGCCACACUGGGACUGAGACACGGCCCAGACUCCUACGGGAGGCAGCAGUGGGGAAUUUUGGACAAUGGGCGCAAGCCUGAUCCAGCCAUUCCGCGUGCAGGAUGAAGGCCC
rnacentral:rRNA from 1 species